rnacentral:rRNA from 1 species
UCGAACGGAAGUAGCAAUACUUAGUGGCGAACGGGUGAGUAACACGUGAGCAACCUGCCUUAUACUCAGGGAUAACAGUUGGAAACGACUGCUAAUACCGGAUAAGACCACACUAUGGCAUCAUAGAGGGGUCAAAGUGCUUUAGCGGUAUGAGAUGGGCUCGCGUCCAAUUAGCUAGUUGGUGGGGUAACGGCCCACCAAGGCGACGAUUGGUAGCCGACUUGAGAGAGUGAUCGGCCACACUGGAACUGAGACACGGUCCAGACUCCUACGGGAGGCAGCAGUGGGGAAUAUUGGGCAAUGGAGGAAACUCUUUAACCCCCAGCAAUGCCGCGUGAGUGAUGAAGGUCUUUGGAUUGUAAAGCUCUUUGAUUGGGGAAGAAUAAAUGACGGUACCCAAAGAACAAGCCCCGGCUAACUAUGUGCCAGCCGCUGC